rnacentral:rRNA from 1 species
UGGGGAAUAUUGCACAAUGGGCGAAAGCCUGAUGCAGCAACGCCGCGUGAGUGAUGAAGGUCUUCGGAUUGUAAAGCUCUGUCUUUUGGGACGAUAAUGACGGUACCAAAGGAGGAAGCCACGGCUAACUACGUGCCAGCAGCCGCGGUAAUACGUAGGUGGCGAGCGUUGUCCGGAUUUACUGGGCGUAAAGGGUGCGUAGGCGGAUGUUUAAGUGAGAUGUGAAAUACCCGGGCUUAACUUGGGUGCUGCAUUUCAAACUGGAUAUCUAGGGUGCAGGAGAGGAGAAUGGAAUUCCUAGUGUAGCGGUGAAAUGCGUAGAGAUUAGGAAGAACACCAGUGGCGAAGGCGAUUCUCUGGACUGUAACUGACGCUGAGGCACGAAAGCGUGGGUAGCAAACAGGAUUAGAUACCCUGGUAGUCCACGCCGUAAACGAUGAGUACUAGGUGUAGGAGGUAUCGACCCCUUCUGUGCCGCAGUAAACACAUUAAGUACUCCGCCUGGGAAGUACGAUCGCAAGAUUAAAAC